UACGGAGGGGGCUAGCGUUGUUCGGAAUUACUGGGCGUAAAGCGCGCGUAGGCGGCUUUGUAAGUUAGAGGUGAAAGCCCGGAGCUCAACUCCGGAACUGCCUUUAAGACUGCAUCGCUAGAACGUCGGAGAGGUAAGUGGAAUUCCGAGUGUAGAGGUGAAAUUCGUAGAUAUUCGGAAGAACACCAGUGGCGAAGGCGGCCAGCUGGGCCGUCCCUGACGCUGAGGCGCGAAGGCGUGGGGAGCGAACGGG
rnacentral:rRNA from 1 species